rnacentral:rRNA from 1 species
AAUGCGUAGAUAUCCGGAGGAACGUCGGUGGCGUAAGCGGCGCACUGGUCUNGACCUGACGCUGAGGCACGAAAGCGUGGGGAGCGAACCGGAUUAGAUACCCGGGUAGUCCACGCAGUAAACGAUGUCGGCUCGGUGUGCAAGUGGUGUAUACACACCACCGCGUGCCCCAGUUCACACGGUAAGCCGACCGCCUGGGGACUACGAGCGCAAGCUUAAAACUCAAAGGAAUUGACGGGGGCCCGCACAAGCAGCGGAGCGUGUGGUUUAAUUCGACGCAACGCGAAGAACCUUACCCAGGUUUGACAUGGUACUGCAAGCGCACGGAAACGUAUGACCUUCGAGGGUGUACCACAGGUGCUGCAUGGCUAUCGUCAGCUCGUGUCGUGAAAUGUUGGGUUAAGUCCCGCAACGAGCGCAACCCUCGCUGCCAGUUACUCGUGUCUGGCGGGACAGCCCUCUUNGAAGGGGGAGGAAGCCGGGGAUGACGUCAAGUCAGCAUGGCCCUUACGCCUGGGGCGACACACACGCUACAAUGCCGACCACAAUGCGUGGCAAACCCGCAAGGGGGAGCUAAUCGCCAAAGGUCGGCCCAGUGCAGAUCGGGGGCUGCAACUCGCCCCCGUGAAGNCGGAGUUGCUAGUACNCGCGUAUCAGCCAU